CGGAAACGACUGCUAAUACCGCAUAAUGCAGCGGCAGCUCAUGCUGAUUUGUUGUUAAAGCGGGGGAUCAGCAAUGACCUCGCGCCUAAAGAGAAGCCCGCGGCGGAUUAGCUAGUUGGUGAGGUAAUGGCUCACCAAGGCGUCGAUCCGUAGCCGGCCUGAGGGGGCGGUCGGCCUCACUGGGACUGAGACACGGCCCAG
rnacentral:rRNA from 1 species